ACUUAUAUUCUGUAGCAAGGUUAACCGUAUAGGGGAGCCGUAGGGAAACCGAGUCUUAACCGGGCGUUAAGUUGCAGGGUAUAGACCCGAAACCCGGUGAUCUAGCCAUGGGCAGGUUGAAGGUUGGGUAACACUAACUGGAGGACCGAACCGACUAAUGUUGAAAAAUUAGCGGAUGACCUGUGGCUGGGGGUGAAAGGCCAAUCAAACCGGGAGAUAGCUGGUUCUCCCCGAAAGCUAUUUAGGUAGCGCCUCGUGAAUUCAUCUCCGGGGGUAGAGCACUGUUUCGGCUAGGGGGCCAUCCCGGCUUACCAACCCGAUGCAAACUGCGAAUACCGGAGAAUGUUAUCACGGGAGACACACGGCGGGUGCUAACGUCCGUCGUGAAGAGGGAAACAACCCAGACCGCCAGCUAAGGUCCCAAAGUCAUGGUUAAGUGGGAAACGAUGUGGGAAGGCCCAGACAGCCAGGAUGUUGGCUUAGAAGCAGCCAUCAUUUAAAGAAAGCGUAAUAGCUCACUGGUCGAGUCGGCCUGCGCGGAAGAUGUAACGGGGCUAAACCAUGCACCGAAGCUGCGGCAGCGAACGUAUCACCCAAGACAACUUUACGGAGUUGACGAUUGACGGAGCGAAGCGACGUCAAAGCGUUCAUUAAAGUCGAGUUGGCUUAGGGAUACGUUCGUUGGGUAGGGGAGCGUUCUGUAAGCCUGUGAAGGUGUGUCGUGAGGCAUGCUGGAGGUAUCAGAAGUGCGAAUGCUGACAUAAGUAACGAUAAAGCGGGUGAAAAGCCCGCUCGCCGGAAGACCAAGGGUUCCUGUCCAACGUUAAUCGGGGCAGGGUGAGUCGACCCCUAAGGCGAGGCCGAAAGGCGUAGUCGAUGGGAAACGGGUUAAUAUUCCCGUACUUGGUGUUACUGCGAAGGGGGGACGGAGAAGGCUAUGUUGGCCGGGCGACGGUUGUCCCGGUUUAAGCGUGUAGGUGUGUGUUCCAGGUAAAUCCGGUUCACUUUAACACUGAG
rnacentral:rRNA from 1 species